GCCAGGCGUGGUGGCUCACGCCUGUAAUCCUGACACUUUGGGAGGCCGAGGCGGGAGGAUCACUUGAGCCCAGGAGUUGGAGACCAGCCUGGGCAACAUAGUAAGACCCUGUCUCUU
rnacentral:sRNA from 1 species